rnacentral:rRNA from 1 species
UGGGGAAUAUUGCGCAAUGGGGGCAACCCUGACGCAGCCAUGCCGCGUGAAUGAAGAAGGCCUUCGGGUUGUAAAGUUCUUUCGGUAGCGAGGAAGGCAUUUAGUUUAAUAAACUAAGUGAUUGACGUUAACUACAGAAGAAGCACCGGCUAACUCCGUGCCAGCAGCCGCGGUAAUACGGAGGGUGCGGGCGUUAAUCGGAAUAACUGGGCGUAAAGGGCACGCAGGCGGUGACUUAAGUGAGGUGUGAAAGCCCCGGGCUUAACCUGGGAAUUGCAUUUCAUACUGGGUCGCUAGAGUACUUUAGGGAGGGGUAGAAUUCCACGUGUAGCGGUGAAAUGCGUAGAGAUGUGGAGGAAUACCGAAGGCGAAGGCAGCCCCUUGGGAAUGUACUGACGCUCAUGUGCGAAAGCGUGGGGAGCAAACAGGAUUAGAUACCCUGGUAGUCCACGCUGUAAACGAUGUCGAUUUGGGGGUUGAACUAUAAGUUUGGCGCCCGUAGCUAACGUGAUAAAUCGACCGCCUGGGGAGUACGGCCGCAAGGUUA